rnacentral:rRNA from 1 species
GAUGAACGCUAGCGGCAGGCUUAAUACAUGCAAGUCGAGGGGCAUCAGCUUAUAGCAAUAUAGGGCUGGCGACCGGCAAACGGGUGCGGAACACGUACACAACCUUCCUUUAAGAGGGGGAUAGCCCAUAGAAAUGUGGAUUAAUACCCCGUAAGAUAGCGGGAUGGCAUCAUACUACUAUUAUAGUUACGACGCUUGAAGAUGGGUGUGCGUCUGAUUAGCUAGUUGGUGAGGUAAUGGCUCACCAAGGCAUCGAUGGGUAGGGGUUCUGAGAGGAAGGUCCCCCACAUUGGAACUGAGACACGGUCCAA